AACGAACGCUGGCGGCAGGCCUAAAACAUGCAAGUCGAACGCCCUAGCACUAGGGAGUGGCGCACGGGUGAGUAACGCGUGGGAACGUGCCCUUCAGUACGGAACAACGUCGGGAAACUGACGCUAAUACCGUAUAAUAUCUCUGGCUCAAAGAUGUAUCGCUGAAGGAUCGGCCCGCGUCUGAUUGGCUAGUUGGUGAGGUAAUGGCUCACCAAGGCUACGAGCAGUAGCUGGUCUGAGAGGAUGAUCAGCCACACUUGGCCUGCGACACGGCCCAGACUACUACGGGAGGCGGCAGUUAGGAAUAUUGGACAAUGGCCGAAAGCCUGAUCCAGCCAUGCCGCGGGUGUGAUGAAGGCCUUAGGGUUGUAAAGCACUUUCGUUGGGGAUGAUAAUGACCGUACCCAGAGAAGAAGCCACGGCUAAAUUCGAGCCAGCCGCCGCGGUAA
rnacentral:rRNA from 1 species